GCUUAACACAUGCAAGUCGAGCGGUAACAGAGAUAGCUUGCUAUCUGCUGACGAGCGGCGGACGGGUGAGUAAUGCUUGGGAAUAUGCCUUUGAGUGGGGGACAACAGUUGGAAACGACUGCUAAUACCGCAUAACGUCUACGGACCAAAGGGGGGGAUGCUUCGGCACCUCUCGCUCAUUGAUUAGCCCAAGUGAGAUUAGCUAGUUGGUAAGGUAAUGGCUUACCAAGGCGACGAUCUCUAGCUGGUUUGAGAGGAUGAUCAGCCACACUGGGACUGAGACACGGCCCAGACUCCUACGGGAGGCAGCAGUGGGGAAUAUUGCACAAUGGGCGAAAGCCUGAUGCAGCCAUGCCGCGUGUGUGAAGAAGGCCUUCGGGUCGUAAAGCACUUUCAGCGAGGAGGAAAGGUUAGUAGUUAAUAGCUGCUAGCUGUGACGUUACUCGCAGAAGAAGCACCGGCUAACUUCGUGCCAGCAGCCGCGGUAAUACGAGGGGUGCAAGCGUUAAUCGGAAUUACUGGGCGUAAAGCGUGCGUAGGUGGUUUGUUAAGCAAGAUGUGAAAGCCCCGGGCUCAACCUGGGAACUGCAUUUUGAACUGGCAAAC
rnacentral:rRNA from 1 species